UGUCUCUUCUCUUCAGCUGAAACCCAUAAACACAGCUAUGAAGUACCACCUGUUCCUUCUCAGACUCUUAGUCACCAUUGGAAACACAGCCUUUGUGUGUUAAUUUCAGUAUUACUGGUAUGCAGACUGGUGGUGCAGAAUUGAUGGAUCUUGUGUGAAAGCUGGAGAAGUGGAUGGAAUGUCAGUGGAGACAGCAGAUGCAGCAGCAGUGUUCAAAGUGACUCUGAGGAACCUCCAGGAGAAGAACAGCGGCUGGUACUGGUGCUCUGUGGGAACAUUCCAGAUGCCUGUUCACAUCACUGUCAGUAAGAGGACCAUUCUUCCCACCACCAUCACUCCAACACUCCAGACAUCUCCAACAACAGAGAUGUCUAAUAACAGUUCAGCUGGUAUUUACAUGAUGGAUAUACUAACUUCUUUCUCAUGUCCCCAGAUGUCUCUGAAUGCAAAAAAAGAAAUGCGAGUUUUUUUCUCAUAUCCUUUUCAUAUUUAUGCAAUGGUGAAAUAUGAUUAGAACUGCAGAGGGUCAAAUAUAAUAUUCUAUUUCAUAUUAACCUGAAUUCAUUUUUCUGAUUUUGCCUUUAAUGUAAUGGUGAUCUGAACUUCACAAUCACUACCAGAACAUUGACAAGACCAACCUUUGAAUGUAUUUUUUCAUAAUAUACCUCAUAUGACGAUAACACUAACUGAGACUUUGUCUCAGUGUCUUUCAGCUGGAAACAAAUUCUUGGCACCCUUUUGAAGUCUGCUGUGGCCCUGGUCUGUCUCACCCUCUCUAUCAUAACUGCAGUGAAGCUCCUGAAGCUCAGAGCUGCUCUAUCUAAAGAUGACAGAAAUGCUCCUAUUCCCAGUGCUGAGUAGCACACCCCAGUAUGGAGUUGAACUGGCCUGAAGCAGCACUGUGUGCACUCUGCCAUUAGUUGCUUAAUUCUUAAUUUUGCAGCUGAAGGUCAGGCAGUGGGUGAUGGGCUUCUGAGUCACUAAGAGUAGAGCAAAGGAAAGCAUUCAAGGCAGAAUUCCUUGAUCAGAAAUGAUACAUUGUUUAGACGCUGAUAAUAUGUUGUUUAUUCACAGCUUAAAAGACUGCUAAUGACCCGUCUUAAACUGCACCAUAUUUCAACAGAGCUAGAUGCUUUUACAUGGCUAGAUGACUGUAUACUACUGUAUUAUGAUCAAUUGCUGAUAAUGAAUUUCACAUUCUUAUUUUUUGUUGUUUAUUGUGAUGUGGUUGAUGUCAUACUGAAUAUGAUGCCUUUUAUAUUAUGCAGGUAAUUCAAUAUUCUGUUCUAUUUUACACCAAUAUUGUGAGGACAAAACAAGCUUUUAUUUUAAUAUUAUACAUUUAAAGGUAAAACUUUACUUGACUCAACAUUCAUACCAAACCUUUAAUGAAUGUGAAAG